CCUACGGGUGGCAGCAGUGAGGAAUAUUGGUCAAUGGACGCAAGUCUGAACCAGCCAAGCCGCGUGCAGGAAGACGGCCCUAUGGGUUGUAAACUUCUUUUAUAAGGGGGUAAACGGAGACACGCGUACCUGUCUGUAAGUACUUUAUGAAUAAGGAUCGGCUAACUCCGUGCCAGCAGCCGCGGUAAUACGGAGGAUUCAAGCGUUAUCCGGAUUUAUUGGGUUUAAAGGGGGCGUAGACGGGCGGAUAAGUCAGUGGUGAAAUCCCGAGGCUCAACCUCAGAAUUGCCUCUGAUACUGGUCGCCUAGAGUGUAGUUGCGGUAGGCGGAAUGUGUGGUGUAGCGGUGAAAUGCUUAGAGAUCAUACAGAACUCCGAUUGCGAAGGCAGCUUACCAAGCUGCUUCUGACGUUGAGGCACGAAAGCGUGGGUAGCAAACAGGAUUAGAUACCCGAGUAGUC
rnacentral:rRNA from 1 species